rnacentral:tRNA from 1 species
CAGGGAGACAACAAACUGAUCAUGAUGUCUGAGUAUUUAUUCUUAGGCCUUGAUCCUGUCACCUUAGGUCGAUCGGUACCUCAGAUUAAUGACUAUAAAAAGCUAGUUAUCUUAGUUUUGUCUUUGAUUUCAGUUCCUAAACUUGUCUAGGUCACACCCCGCAAGGGUUACUCCUGGGCCAUUAGCUCAGGUGGUUAGAGCGCACCCCUGAUAAGGGUGAGGUCCCUGGUUCAAGUCCAGGAUGGCCCAUUCGGUGUUGGGGGUAUAGCUCAGUUGGUAGAGCGCCUGCUUUGCAAGCAGGAUGUCAGCGGUUCGAGUCCGCUUACCUCCACUGACCGCCCCCUCUUGAACCAAUGGAGAGCCUUGUGUGAUGUGAUUUAGAUAUUCAGCUGAUUGAACCUAGCUUCUUAUCAUUCCAUUUUUAACUAAUAAUUAUUAAAUGGUUGACAGGAUGCUGGGCUCAUAAGGAUUAUUUGUCCUUAUUAAGUUCGGCAGAACCUUGACAACUGCUUAGGUGAGUCUGGAAAAGAAAAAAGCAUCUCAUGGAUACAUAAUUCCUUUAUUGGAUUUAUGUUUAAUUCUUGAGCAUAAAGUCGAGACUCUAGAACAAUCUUUCUUUGCAAAUUGAUUGCAAUGAGAGUUAGAUCAGUAAUUCAUAUUUGAAUUGCUGAGAAUGCGUAUUCAACUACGUCAAUUGUUUUAGAGAUAUUU